rnacentral:rRNA from 1 species
GAGUUUGAUCCUGGCUCAGAUUGAACGCUGGCGGCAGGCCUAACACAUGCAAGUCGAGCGGAUGAGUGGAGCUUGCUCCAUGAUUCAGCGGCGGACGGGUGAGUAAUGCCUAGGAAUCUGCCUGGUAGUGGGGGACAACGUUUCGAAAGGAACGCUAAUACCGCAUACGUCCUACGGGAGAAAGCAGGGGACCUUCGGGCCUUGCGCUAUCAGAUGAGCCUAGGUCGGAUUAGCUAGUAGGUGGGGUAAUGGCCCACCUAGGCGACGAUCCGUAACUGGUCUGAGAGGAUGAUCAGUCACACUGGAACUGAGACACGGUCCAGACUCCUACGGGAGGCAGCAGUGGGGAAUAUUGGACAAUGGGCGAAAGCCUGAUCCAGCCAUGCCGCGUGUGUGAAGAAGGUCUUCGGAUUGUAAAGCACUUUAAGUUGGGAGGAAGGGCAGUAAGUUAAUACCUUGCUGUUUUGACGUUACCAACAGAAUAAGCACCGGCUAACUUCGUG